UUUAUGCAAAUUACAAACAUACUAUCUAAACGAGUUACCGGCAAAGAUUGAAAUUAUUCAGCCAAAUCACAGAGACACGUUCAUGUUCGUUGCAACAUGCUAUACCUUUUAAUCGCUUCUCGCCCCCGAUCUUGCCUCCAGAGUAGCGUCGACUUUCAUUCAUCUAAUGCGGCAUUCUAAUGUUAGAAACAAUUUAUUUAUAGAGACUAAACGUUGACGUGCGUUCGUCGAUCGAUGCUUUCUCUUCGCGCUUUCGGUGCCCUGUGUAUACGUAUGCAAAGUAGCAGAAGAAGCUAGAGAAAAAAGAGAAAGAACUAGAAAACGGAAAAAAAGUAUUACGUCCCCGUUACCUUUUCCCCAAAAGAAGAAGAAGAAGAAGAAGAAGAAGAAGAAGACGAAGAAGAACAGAUUAGGAACGCUUCAAAGAAAAGAAGAAAAGCGUAGAAAAAGGAAAGAAUCAUUGUACAUAGUCCGCUGUUCGCCAGUUUCUUUUUCUUCUGUAGAAUUCUGCGAGCGCCGCGUUUCCCUCAACUCGACCUUUUUUUUAAUCGUAUCCCGUAUAGAAUUGCUGCAUUUAACGCCACCUAUAAACCCGAAACAACGAUUUUCUCUUCCCCUCGAUGUACAGGAAUCCCUAGCGUGAGAUAUCGCAUAUUCGAUUUUUCCAAGCAUCAUCGAUUUAUCCGGAAUUGGCUGAGGAUGAUUAAUUUUCACGCUAGAGAGGUUACUGCAUCGACGCCUAAGUUAUCUGCAGAAAUUUAUAUAUUAUAUAUUAUAGUAAUUAUUAUUAUUAUUUUAUUAUUAUUAUUAUUAUUAUAUUAUUAUUAUUAUUAUUAUAUUAUUAAUAUUAUUAUUAUUUGUACGUAGCGGAAACAAAUUAUAAAUUAUGUAUAUACACCAUCGAUAGAUUGAAU
rnacentral:misc_RNA from 1 species